CAUUGAACAGGCUUGGUCAACCAGUUCUACUGACAAAAGAUGUGUGAUAUUGUCCAGAAUUGGGGCCUACAAAGUGUUCAGUUUUGACAUUGCACACUUGGCACGUGGAAGAGAACUAGAGAGUGAGGUUAUAAAUGCAUACAUAUAUGCUAUGGUGAGGAAGAACAACCAGGAGAAAGAGGAAAAGGCUUUCCUGAUUGAUUCAUUUGCCAUGAGAAAAGUGUGGCGACAAUCAUAUAACAUCCUUAGAAAGUGGGACCCUACCCAAUUCGAAAUCAUUCUUGGGGUUAUACAGUAGGUGAACAUGGACACUG